CACCGUUCCAAACUUUGAUUGGCAGCGCAUGUCCACUGAUAUUGUCCCACAGUCUAGAACCAGCGGAGAUUGCGGUGUAUUCGCCAUCAAACACUUGGAGUUCAUUCUUGGAGACAUUCCCUUAUCAUAUGCCAUCGAGGACAACAUUCAGUACUUCAGGGAUAAAUUAUGCAUCGACAUUUUUUAUGAGAAUGUGUACCCUUGAUGUUAGAACAUUUAUUUUGAUUUCGAUGACACACAAUAGUAUAUUUCUCCUUAGUAUUGUAUAUAAAAAAUGUCGUUUCGAUUAACAAA